rnacentral:rRNA from 1 species
UACGUAGGGGGCUAGCGUUGCUCGGAAUCAUUGGGCGUAAAGCGCACGUAGGCGGUUUGUUAAGUCAGGGGUGAAAUCCUGGAGCUCAACUCCAGAACUGCCUUUGAUACUGGCGAUCUUGAGUCCGGGAGAGGUGAGUGGAACUGCGAGUGUAGAGGUGAAAUUCGUAGAUAUUCGCAAGAACACCAGUGGCGAAGGCGGCUCACUGGCCCGGUACUGACGCUGAGGUGCGAAAGCGUGGGGAGCAAACAGG